UGACCGUUGAUAUAAAGGAAAAAGCUGAGUUUUGUUGUCUGCCUGCAGGAAUAACAUCCACCAGAGUUUGUGUUUAUUUGCUUAGUAAUAAAGUCUUCGUUUUAGUUUGGGUUUUUACACCUAUGUCUCCUGGAGUCACUCUGUCCUCUGCCACCGGCUGGAAAUCCCCCUCCAACAGGUUAUGGGCCCAGUUCCCCAGUCCUGAGUGGGCAGAGACAGAGCGUGAAAAGAACCCAGAGACUGGAAGCAACUCAGCGUUUCUCAAGCAGCUGGCUGUGUGAAGGCAUCGGCAGGGAGUGUCUGUUUGGGACCAGGAGCCGAACAUUUCUUCAAGCCACGUGUGAGUAAGAACUGAGUGGAAAGCUGAAAGCUGGGUGGCGCCAUGGCUGGACUUGGAGCUGGAGCUCAAGGGGGAGCUUCCUAUUUUCCAGUAGAGAAACUGGGAGAGUCCAAUUAUAUGUCAUGGAGUUUACAGAUGCAGGCGUUUUUAAAGAAAGAACAAUGUUGGACUGUUAUUGUUAACCCUCCUGUAAAAGAGGAGGAUGAAGAAGUAGAUGAAGCAGACCAAAGGCUGGAGGACAAAGCCUAUGCCAAUUUAAUUUUGAGUUUAGAGAAGUCUCAGUUAUCUCAUGUGCGAGACCUUGAAACAGCAAGUGAGAUUUGGCAAGCACUGAGAGCAAUACAUAUUAGAGACACUGCUGGCAGCAAAAUUACUCUAACGAGAGCUCUGUACCGAGCCAGACUAAGUGAGGGUGAAUGUGUUUCAACACAUCUUCAAAGAAUGCGUGAUUUGUUUUCACAGUUAAAUGAACUUGGGGAACAUUUUUCUGAACAGAGAAAGGUUUAUAUUGUGCUGUCUUCACUUCCUGAGUCAUGGGACAAUUUAGUGAUGGCUCUGGAAGCAAUCCCAGAAAGCCAAUUAACAAUGCAUUUCUUAACUGGGCGUUUGCUUGAUGAGGAGGAAAGACGCCAUGAGAGGAAGGCCACAACCCCUCACCGUAACUCCAGAAAUGGGAGGCAGUCCAGUAAAAGAUAUGCAACUGAUGAGGAGCGGCAUCCUAAAGAGGUUGUAGACCACAGAGAGGAAGCAGCGUUCACAGUUAGAAGAUGCUAUCGUUGUGGGUCAACCAAGCAUUUAGUACGACAGUGCACUGUGUCUGUGGGAGAAAAUACAAGACAAGGGCGGCCUGCGUUUGCUGGGAAGCGAGGAGACAGGAAGAGUCGAGUCCAGUAUGUUUCUGCAGCAGUUCGAGGCACCAGUCACGACGUUGGACAAGACUGGAUUUUAGACUCGGCAGCGACAAACAUUUUUGUUAAGUCUGCACAAACCCUUGUAGAAAAGCAGCCUUGUAAAUCUGUAAAUGUAGUACUAGCUGAUGGAACAGUGCAUGAGUCAGCUGGAAAGGGUAGUGUGAAUAUCAACUGUUUAAGUACCAAGUUUACCAAUGUUUUAUGUGUACCAAGUUUAGAAAAUAAUUUGCUUUCAGUUACAAGUCUUGUUAAGCAGGGAUUUAAAGUAACCUUUUCUGGUUCAGGCUGUAGAAUAGAGAAAGCUGGAAAAGUGGUUACAGCGUCACUGCAAAAUGGUUUGUUUGUUUUGAAAGACCAGCUAGUAAGUGAGUCUGGGGCAUGUGUUAAAGCCUGUAAUAGAGCCUUGCAUGAUGAGUGCCAGCAUCUGUGGCAUCGUCGUUUGGGGCAUGCCAAUUUCCGCAGUAUUGCAAAAAUGCCAGAAUUAAGCAAGGGAAUUAAAAUGAAAAAAUGUUCAGUUUUUCUAGACUGCAAUACCUGCAAGGAGUCUAAAAGUAAGCGAGGGUCUUAUCCUGAAAGUACUAGAAUUAGCAAGAGGCCAUUUGCUUUAGUACAUUCAGACCUUUGUGGGCCAUUUGCAGAGUCUGAAGGAGGAGCAAAGUUUUUUUUGGUUCUUGUGGAUGAUUAUAGCCGGUAUACUUGGGUAUAUUUGUUAAAACACAAAAGUGAAACUGGUCAACUGAUUAAGAAUUGGAUCAACUAUAUAGAAAGGCAGUUUCCCUACAAAGUUACCCAGUUGCAAAGUGACCGUGGAGGCGAGUUCAUGUCUGAAGCCCUCCAAGUUUGGUUGAAAAAGCGUGGUAUUAGUCACCGUAAAUCGUGUCCUUUUUCGCCUGAAGAAAAUUCAGUUGCAGAACGCAAGAUAAGAUCUUUACAAACAAUGCUAGAUUCAAUGCUAUGUGAUUCUGGCCUAUCCAGGAAGUAUUGGGGAGAAGGAAUUCUGUGUGCUAACUACAUACAGAACAGAUUGUUUCAUUCUACCAUAAACAACACCCCUCAUUUUUUGCUUUAUGGAAAAAAACCCUUUUUGGACCAUGUUAAAACUUUUGGUUGCUGGGCUUGGGUUCACAUCCCAAAAGGACAGAGAAGGAAAGGAGAGCCCAAGGCAAAGAAACUUAGGUUUGUUGGCUAUCAAACUUGGUCAAAGGGGUAUCGUUUUGCACUAGGGCGUGGCAGAGUUGUAAUAUCAAGACAUGCAGAGUUUUGUGAGCAAGAUGGUUGGGUUCGUUUACAUGGAAAUUCAGAAGUUAUGUUAUCUUCUGAUGAUACAGAUAAAUUUGUGAAAUCUGAGGAAGAAAAGCCACAAAUUAAAGAAAGUUCUGAAAGUGACAGUGAUGAGGAUUCAGGGGAUGAGGAUCCCAGUACACAAUCUCCUAAAGCUGAACCAAUUUCUCCUGAGCAGGGUGAAUCAGAAGGGGAAGAUAGUUCAGAGGGGGAGAGUGUUCAAGUUAGAAGGUCACAAAGAAGCAAUAAGGGGGUACCUCCAGAAAGGUUUACUAUACAAGAAGUUAAAACUGUUGAUGUGAAAAAGGAACCUCGUGAUUAUGAGGAAGUUUUAAAGUUACCACACCAGGAAAUAGUAAGGUGGAAAAAUGCAAUGAAAGCAGAAAUGAAAUCUUUAGCAGAACACAAUGUCUUUACCAUUGAGCCAUUGCCUGAAGGAAAAAAGGCAGUGGGCUGUAGAUGGGUGUAUAAAAUAAAACACUUGGCAGAUGGUGAUGUUAAGUACAAAGCCAGACUGGUAGCACGAGGCUUUACUCAAAGAAAAGGUGAAAGCUUUGAUGAAACCUUUUCUCCUACUGCAAGGAGUGAAAGUGUACGUUUAUUGCUAGCUCUUGCAGCACAACGUGGGUUUAAGGUAAACCAUUUUGAUAUUGAAACAGCUUAUCUUAACGCAAAUCUGCAAGAAGAAAUUUUUAUGAAUCAAGCGCCAGGUUUUGAGGCAGGAGAACAGAAUUCUGUAUAUAGGCUGAACAAAGCAAUUUAUGGGCUCAAACAGUCAGCUAGAAAUUGGAACGAGUGUCUUGAUAAUGCUUUAAAAAAUCUUGGUUUUAAAAGAAGCUUAGCUGAUAACUGCUUGUACACUAAAGGAAAGGGUGAUAAACAAGAAUUGUGUUUGUGUUAUGUUGAUGAUUUGCUUUACUCUACAAAAAGUGACAAGCAAGUGGAAAAAUUUGCAGAACAACUAAGAAAGGUAUUUAAAGUAAGAGAUUUGGGUCCAGUAAAAAAUUAUCUCGGUUUAGAAAUUCAAAGAACAAACGAUGGAAGUUUUUUGUUGAGUCAAAAAGACAAAAUAAUGGAAUUACUUGAAAGAAACAAUAUGCAAAACUGCAAGGGAGUAAAAACCCCAAUGGAAAUAGGUUUUUUCAAAAAUGAAGGAGAAUGCACAGAACCUGUAAAUCCUGAAAUGUACCAUUCAAUAAUUGGAAGUUUAUUAUACAUUUCAUUGUGGAGCAGACCAGAUUUGAGUUAUGCAGUUGGAAUACUAAGCAGACUAGUAAGCUGUCCUACAGAAAAUGCCUGGAAAGGUUUAAAACGUAUUUUCCGGUAUCUAAAGCAAACACUUGAUUAUUUUUUAAGAUUACCAUCUUCAGGGUCCACAAAAUUGCAGUGUUACGUUGACAGCGAUUGGGCCAACCUGCCUGAUAAAAAAUCAAUUUCUGGAAUGGUAUUUCAAUUUGGAGAUUCUUUAAUAGGUUGGAAAUCCAAAAAACAAAGUAUCGUGGCCACAUCAUCAACAGAGGCCGAAUACUGUGCAUUGUCGGAGUUAUGUAAUGAAAUAAAAUUUUAUGUUCAGAUCCUCAAGGAUAUAAACGUACAGUGUGAUUAUCCCGUUCAAAUUAUGGAAGAUAAUCAAGCCGUAAUAACCUUGUCUGGAUCUGACCUGUUUAGAAACAAAUCAAAGCAUUUGGAAAUUAAAUAUCAAAAUGUAGCUGAAAAUGUAAAACAGAACCAGAUAAUGCUGAAGUAUUGUGAAAGUACACAAAAUGUGGCGGAUGUAUUUACAAAAGCGUUAACCUUUGAAAAACAUGCACGACUGGUAGCAAAGUUGGGAGUUGCUGUGUGUGAUAUGUAAAUAUGUUCUGUUCUGUUUAAAAUACUAUUGUUUCUGUUUGAAUGAGAGGGGGUGUUAGAGGACAUUCGGCACAGAAACAUGUGUGUAUACCUUUAAGAAGUUUCUGGGAUUAAUUGGCUGCAGGUGACCGUUGCUAUAAAGGAAAAAGCUGAGUUUUGUUGUCUGCCUGCAGGAAUAACAUCCACCAGAGUUUGUGUUUAUUUGCUUAGUAAUAAAGUCUUCGUUUUAGUUUGGGUUUUUACACCUAUGUCUCCUGGAGUCACUCUGUCCUCUGCCACCGGCUGGAAAUCCCCCUCCAACAAUGUGGCCUUCCACCUGACAUAGCAGAAUUUGAGGAUUGAAGU
ensembl:lncRNA